rnacentral:rRNA from 1 species
GACGAACCGUGCGAACGUUGUUCGGAUUCAUUGGGCUUAAAGGGCGCGUAGGCGGCCGCUCAAGUCGGGGGUGAAAUCUUUCAGCUCAACUGGAAAAUAGUCUCCGAUACUGGGCGGCUGGAGGGAGAUAGGGGUGCGCGGAACUUCCGGUGGAGCGGUGAAAUGCGUAGAUAUCGGAAGGAACGCCGGUGGCGAAAGCGGCGCACUGGAUCUCAUCUGACGCUGAGGCGCGAAAGCCAGGGGAGCAA